rnacentral:rRNA from 1 species
AGCAGCCGCGGUAAUUCCAGCUCCAAUAGCGUAUAUUAAAGUUGUUGCAGUUAAAAAGCUCGUAGUUGAAUUUCGGGGUCAGUAGAUUGGUCAUGCCACUGGUAUGUACCGGUCUCACUGAUUCCUCCUUCCUGAUGAGCCGUAAUGCCAUUAAUUUGGUGUUGCGAGGAAUCUGGACUGUUACUUUGAAAAAAUUAGAGUGUUUAAAGCAGGCUAACGCUUGAAUACAUUAGCAUGGAAUAAUGAAAUAGGACGUUUGAUUCUAUUUUGUUGGUUUCUAGGAUCGACGUAAUGAUUAAUAGGGAUAGUUGGGGGCAUUAGUAUUCAAUUGUCAGAGGUGAAAUUCUUGGAUUUAUUGAAGACUAACUACUGCGAAAGCAUUUGCCAAGGAUGUUUUCAUUAAUCAAGAACGAAAGUUAGGGGAUCGAAGACGAUCAGAUACCGUCGUAGUCUUAACCAUAAACUAUGCCGACUAGGGAUCGGAUGAUGUUAAUUUUUUAAUGUACUCAUUC